rnacentral:rRNA from 1 species
UACAGAGGUCCCAAGCGUUGUUCGGAUUCACUGGGCGUAAAGGGUGCGUAGGCGGUGCGGUAAGUCGGGUGUGAAAUCUCGCGGCUUAACUCCGAAACUGCAUUCGAUACUACUGUGCUUGAGGGUUGGAGAGGAGACUGGAAUUUACGGUGUAGCAGUGAAAUGCGUAGAUAUCGAGAGGAAGACCAGUGGCGAAGGCGAGUCUCUGGACAGUUCCUGACGCUGAGACACGAAGGCCAGGGGAGCAAACAGG